UGACUUUGGAUAAAGAGGAGUAUUUUUACAUCUUUUACAUCCUUGCCCCUUCAUAUCUGGUAGCAGAUGAUGGUUUAUGAGGGCGGAAUGGAAAGACACUGAAAGAGACCAUCGGGAUCUACGGCUUACCUUCCUUGGUUGACAAGAGAAGGGAGGGUGAAACUGCUUGCGUGAGAGAGCAGGGCCCAAAAAUAAAACAGCCGCCUGGCUUUUUCCCCACCCCUUAACUUGUCUUCCUUUUGGGCCAGCCGGUUUGGAUCGCUGCAAAAGGCUCCAGAGAGAAACCCCGUGUGAUGUUUCAUAGCUUUUCCAGGAAACUCAGAAACUUGGCUCUCUCUUCCAACUUCUGAAAAAAAGGACCUCUCAACUUUAUUCUUUCUACAAAUUAUGAAGUAUGUCACAGAAGAAAACAACUUGAGAUGAGUAACACUGACUUUUGGGGAAAACCCUGAAAUAUUUGCAGAUGGAUAUCAAUUCACUUGCAGGCUGAAGCUAUUGAGUCAAAGCAUUCUUCCUGGGCUUGCUACUUCUCCAUAAAAAGUAUUCCCAUUCCAAGAAAAUGACAUAUCAAAGGGAAGGACUCCUGUCUAGUUUUUCUCUAAUACUCUAAUCCAGUGAUUGCAGACUCUGGUCCUUUCAGUGUUUUGGACUUCAACACCUAGCAACCCAUUAUUUGGGCUAGUGGUCAGAGAUUUUGAGGAGCCAAAGACUAAAAUCCUUGGAGGAAGAGAUUAUGGGGACUCAGAAUGGAUUACAGCAUUUACAACAGGCAAACAUUCAAUGCCUUUACAAUCUUAUGAGACACACAAACAAAGGCAAGGCUGCUCCUUUCAUUUCUGGCUUCUGGAGCUGGUGUUCAUCUCUGACUCUGGGAGGUGCUUUUUUCCAUUUUCAAGUCGGGGAACCUGCGUUGUCACCUAAUCAUGUGGCCAGCAAGAUUGCUUGGAGUGUCUCUUUACCUUUUACUGCCGAAGUUGUACUGUACCUAUUUAUUUGCAUGCUUUCAAACUGCUGGGUUGGCAGGAACUAGGGCUGACAGACAGAAGCUCACACCGUCUUGUGGAUUCGAACGGCUAACCUUCAGGUCAGCAGUUCAGCAACACAAGGGUUUAACUCAUUGCUGUACUGCGGAUCCUUUACAGAUGCCUACCUAUAAAAAAAAAUCACAAAGUGAAAUUAUGUCCAGCAGGGCACAAUUUAAAAACAGCCACUGAGAAGGCUACUUUAUGAACCAACUACAAUUUCCUAAAUUUCAAAGUUGGUCCCAUGUGAAGACACACUGCACACUGAUUCAGUCUGAAUGUAACUAAGGCAUAUAUGUACAUAUUGAAAUAGCUUAGAGACAGGGCCAAAGUCUAAACAAAUUAUGUUUUAUUUAUACGUUAUAGAAAUAGCUUGAAGGUAAUUUUAUACAAUAUAUUAAUGA